GUCCUGAGGUGAUUGUCACAUUGAAUUGCAAAUUCAAAGGAGCAGCUCUUACUCUGCCAGGACUU
rnacentral:tRNA from 1 species